GUUAAUGAGGCGAACCGGGGGAACUGAAACAUCUAAGUACCCCGAGGAAAAGAAAUCAACCGAGAUUCCCCCAGUAGCGGCGAGCGAACGGGGAGCAGCCCAGAGCCUGAAUCAGUGUGUGUGUUAGUGGAAGCGUCUGGAAAGGCGCGCGAUACAGGGUGACAGCCCCGUACACAAAAAUGCACAUACUGUGAGCUCGAUGAGUAGGGCGGGACACGUGGUAUCCUGUCUGAAUAUGGGGGGACCAUCCUCCAAGGCUAAAUACUCCUGACUGACCGAUAGUGAACCAGUACCGUGAGGGAAAGGCGAAAAGAACCCCGGCGAGGGGAGUGAAAAAGAACCUGAAACCGUGUACGUACAAGCAGUGGGAGCCUCUUAAUGGGGUGACUGCGUACCUUUUGUAUAAUGGGUCAGCGACUUAUAUUCUGUAGCAAGGUUAACCGAAUAGGGGAGCCGAAGGGAAACCGAGUCUUAACUGGGCGUUAAGUUGCAGGGUAUAGACCCGAAACCCGGUGAUCUAGCCAUGGGCAGGUUGAAGGUUGGGUAACACUAACUGGAGGACCGAACCGACUAAUGUUGAAAAAUUAGCGGAUGACUUGUGGCUGGGGGUGAAAGGCCAAUCAAACCGGGAGAUAGCUGGUUCUCCCCGAAAGCUAUUUAGGUAGCGCCUCGUGAAUUCAUCUCCGGGGGUAGAGCACUGUUUCGGCAAGGGGGUCAUCCCGACUUACCAACCCGAUGCAAACUGCGAAUACCGGAGAAUGUUAUCACGGGAGACACACGGCGGGUGCUAACGUCCGUCGUGAAGAGGGAAACAACCCAGACCGCCAGCUAAGGUCCCAAAGUCAUGGUUAAGUGGGAAACGAUGUGGGAAGGCCCAGACAGCCAGGAUGUUGGCUUAGAAGCAGCCAUCAUUUAAAGAAAGCGUAAUAGCUCACUGGUCGAGUCGGCCUGCGCGGAAGAUGUAACGGGGCUAAACCAUGCACCGAAGCUGCGGCAGCGACACUAUGUGUUGUUGGGUAGGGGAGCGUUCUGUAAGCCUGUGAAGGUGUACUGUGAGGUAUGCUGGAGGUAUCAGAAGUGCGAAUGCUGACAUAAGUAACGAUAAAGCGGGUGAAAAGCCCGCUCGCCGGAAGACCAAGGGUUCCUGUCCAACGUUAAUCGGGGCAGGGUGAGUCGACCCCUAAGGCGAGGCCGAAAGGCGUAGUCGAUGGGAAACAGGUUAAUAUUCCUGUACUUGGUGUUACUGCGAAGGGGGGACGGAGAAGGCUAUGUUGGCCGGGCGACGGUUGUCCCGGUUUAAGCGUGUAGGCUGGUUUUCCAGGCAAAUCCGGAAAAUCAAGGCUGAGGCGUGAUGACGAGGCACUACGGUGCUGAAGCAACAAAUGCCCUGCUUCCAGGAAAAGCCUCUAAGCAUCAGGUAACAUCAAAUCGUACCCCAAACCGACACAGGUGGUCAGGUAGAGAAUACCAAGGCGCUUGAGAGAACUCGGGUGAAGGAACUAGGCAAAAUGGUGCCGUAACUUCGGGAGAAGGCACGCUGAUAUGUAGGUGAAGUCCCUUGCGGAUGGAGCUGAAAUCAGUCGAAGAUACCAGCUGGCUGCAACUGUUUAUUAAAAACACAGCACUGUGCAAACACGAAAGUGGACGUAUACGGUGUGACGCCUGCCCGGUGCCGGAAGGUUAAUUGAUGGGGUUAGCGGUAACGCGAAGCUCUUGAUCGAAGCCCCGGUAAACGGCGGCCGUAACUAUAACGGUCCUAAGGUAGCGAAAUUCCUUGUCGGGUAAGUUCCGACCUGCACGAAUGGCGUAAUGAUGGCCAGGCUGUCUCCACCCGAGACUCAGUGAAAUUGAACUCGCUGUGAAGAUGCAGUGUACCCGCGGCAAGACGGAAAGACCCCGUGAACCUUUACUAUAGCUUGACACUGAACAUUGAGCCUUGAUGUGUAGGAUAGGUGGGAGGCUUUGAAGUGUGGACGCCAGUCUGCAUGGAGCCGGCCUUGAAAUACCACCCUUUAAUGUUUGAUGUUCUAACGUUGGCCCCUGAUCGGGGUUGCGGACAGUGUCUGGUGGGUAGUUUGACUGGGGCGGUCUCCUCCUAAAGAGUAACGGAGGAGCACGAAGGUUGGCUAAUCCUGGUCGGACAUCAGGAGGUUAGUGCAAUGGCAUAAGCCAGCUUGACUGCGAGCGUGACGGCGCGAGCAGGUGCGAAAGCAGGUCAUAGUGAUCCGGUGGUUCUGAAUGGAAGGGCCAUCGCUCAACGGAUAAAAGGUACUCCGGGGAUAACAGGCUGAUACCGCCCAAGAGUUCAUAUCGACGGCGGUGUUUGGCACCUCGAUGUCGGCUCAUCACAUCCUGGGGCUGAAGUAGGUCCCAAGGGUAUGGCUGUUCGCCAUUUAAAGUGGUACGCGAGCUGGGUUUAGAACGUCGUGAGACAGUUCGGUCCCUAUCUGCCGUGGGCGCUGGAGAACUGAGGGGGGCUGCUCCUAGUACGAGAGGACCGGAGUGGACGCAUCACUGGUGUUCGGGUUGUCAUGCCAAUGGCACUGCCCGGUAGCUAAAUGCGGAAGAGAUAAGUGCUGAAAGCAUCUAAGCACGAAACUUGCCCCGAGAUGAGUUCUCCCUGACUCUUUAAGGGUCCUGAAGGAACGUUGAAGACGACGACGUUGAUAGGCCGGGUGUGUAAGCGCAGCGAUGCGUUGAGCUAACCGGUACUAAUGAACCGUGAGGCUUAACCUU
rnacentral:rRNA from 1 species